rnacentral:rRNA from 1 species
AUUGGGGAAUUUUCCGCAAUGGGCGCAAGCCUGACGGAGCGACGCCGCGUGGAGGACGAAGGCCCUCGGGUUGUAAACUCCUGUCACGGAUUAUGAAUGGCGUAGAGUCAAUAGCUCUGCGAUUGACGUAAGUCCGAGAGGAAGCACUGGCUAACUCUGUGCCAGCAGCCGCGGUAAUACAGAGAGUGCAAACGUUGUUCGGAAUCACUGGGCUUAAAGAGCACGUAGGCGGCGCUGUCAGCGUGAGGUGAAAUCCCACGGCUCACCCGUGGAACUGCCUUGCAUACUGCAGCGCUAGAGUAUGGUAGGGGAGAGCGGAACUCCUGGUGGAGCGGUGAAAUGCGUAGAUAUCAGGAGGAACACCGGUGGCGAAGGCGGCUCUCUGGUCCAUAACUGACGCUGAGGUGCGAAAGCUAGGGUAGCGAAAGGGAUUAGAUACCCCUGUAGUCAAU